rnacentral:rRNA from 1 species
CGGGUGAGUAACACGUGAGCAACCUGCCUUUCAGUGGGGGACAACAGUUGGAAACGACUGCUAAUACCGCAUAACGUGCCGGAAGGGCAUCCUUUGGUACCAAAGAUUUAUCGCUGAAAGAUGGGCUCGCGUCUGAUUAGAUAGGUGGUGAGGUAACGGCCCACCAAGUCGACGAUCAGUAGCCGGACUGAGAGGUUGAGUCGGCCACAUUGGGACCUGAGACACGGCCCAGACUCCUACGGAAGGCAGCAG